UUACGGCCAUAUCACGUUGAAACACUGAUACUCGUACGAUCACCGAAGUUAAGCAACGUCGAGCCUGGUCAGUAUCUAGAUUGGUGACGCUUGGAAAUAUCAGGUGCUGUAAG